rnacentral:tRNA from 1 species
GGGCUCGUAGUGAAGUUGGCCUAUCACGUCUCCCUGUCACGGAGAAGAUCGCCGGUUCGAAUCCGGUCGGGCCCGCCA